CGACGACCUGCGGGCCCUCGCGCCCGGGCCGGCAACUCCCUGGGAGCUCGGCCCGCGCGGGGAACUCGCCCAGCAGCCUGUGUUUCUCGAGUGUGGGCAGCCGGCUCCCGGGCGUCCCUCCCACCGGCUGCGGGGGCCCGGGACUGGGCGGUAGUGGAGGCAGGUCCUUGGACUGCAGGCUGAGGCUUUUUCCCCCCACGAGCGGUUUGGGCCCUCCAGGAGCCCCUGCGCGGGGGUCACGUGGAUUACGCUAGGUGAGAGCCGGAGAGGCUGCGCCACCGUCGGGAGGCUCCCUGCCUCCGCCCUUUGUCCUUUGCCCCUGACCAUGAGCGCCCCAAGCCCAGGGACCUCCUUAGGGGGAUGAAGGCUGGAAGAGACCUGGGGGCUCAGACUUACGGGGAAGGAACCUAGGCUAUUCCUUGUGCAUCCCAGGAUUUUACCCAUGAACGUGAACAUGAACGUGUUUUCAACCCCAGCGGUUCCCCUGGCGCCUCGACCCUCCUUUGAAGAGUCAUUCUAGAAGGCUGUAUUGCGAUAGUGUUUGUACCUGUCACUGUGAGCCCUGAAAAGAGACAGAAGAAAACGCGAGUGCCUGGCCUGAGGGUGCUCCGUCCCGUGGGUAGCCAGGGCACUCCACUUCAGCAUUCUCCUGUGGUGUAACAUUACCUGCCACUCAUGCUGGUUCCCAUGCGCCAAGCUAAUUUCAACAACGGGUGAAGUGGGUAUCUCCAUGUGAUGGCUGAGGAGACAGAUUCUGGGUGUUGCUACUAAGCCUCAUGGAGGCAGCCAUGACAGAGCAGAGCCUUCUGUCCUCCUGUUCCAGGUCAGCAGCCUCUCCCAAGGCAGGACUCCAUGGGCCAGCCUCUUUCCUCCCCCACCCUGCUUCUUCAGGCCAGCUCUUAUUUGGUCUGACAAUAAGUCUGAGAGAGGACUCCUCUUGUUGGGGGCUAACUUCAACACCAG
rnacentral:lncRNA from 1 species